GACGAACGCUGGCGGCAUGCCUAAUACAUGCAAGUCGAGCGGACUAUCUGAGAAGCUUGCUUCUCAGAUAGUUAGCGGCGGACGGGUGAGUAACACGUAGGCAACCUGCCCUCAAGCUUGGGACAACUACCGGAAACGGUAGCCAAUACCGAAUACUUGUUUUCUUCGCCUGAAGGGAACUGGAAAGACGGAGCAAUCUGUAACUUGGGGAUGGUCCUGCGGCGCAUCAGCUAGUUGGUGAGGUAACGGCUCACCAAGGCGACGAUGCGUAGCCGACCUGAGAGGGUGAUCGGCCACACUGGGACUGAGACACGGCCCAGACUCCUACGGGAGGCAGCAGUAGGGAAUCUUCCGCAAUGGGCGAAAGCCUGACGGAGCAAUGCCGCGUGAGUGAUGAAGGUUUUCGGAUCGUAAAGCUCUGUUGCCAGGGAAGAACGCUUGGGAGAGUAACUGCUCUCAAGGUGACGGUACCUGAGAAGAAAGCCCCGGCUAACUACGUGCCAGCCGCCGCCGUAA
rnacentral:rRNA from 1 species